GAUGAACGCUGGCGGCGUGCCUAAUACAUGCAAGUCGAGCGAACGGACGAGAAGCUUGCUUCUCUGAUGUUAGCGGCGGACGGGUGAGUAACACGUGGAUAACCUACCUAUAAGACUGGGAUAACUUCGGGAAACCGGAGCUAAUACCGGAUAAUAUUUUGAACCUCAUGGUUCAAAAGUGAAAGACGGUCUUGCUGUCACUUAUAGAUGCAUCCGCGCUGCAUUAGCUAGUUGGUAAGGUAACGGCUUACCAAGGCAACGAUGCAUAGCCGACCUGAGAGGGUGAUCGGCCACACGGGAACGGAGACACGGUCCUGAGUACUACGGGAGGCAGCAGUAGGGAAUCUUCCGCAAUGGGCGAAAGCCUGACGGAGCAACGGCGCGUGAGUGAUGAAGGUCUUCGGAUCGUAAAACUCGGUUAUUAGGGAAGAACAUAUGUGUAAGUAACUGUGCACAUCUUGACGGUACCUAAUCAGAAAGCCACGGCUAACUACGUG
rnacentral:rRNA from 1 species